GACGAACGCUGGCGGCGUGCUUAACACAUGCAAGUCGAACGGAAAGGCCCUGCUUUUGUGGGGUGCUCGAGUGGCGAACGGGUGAGUAACACGUGAGUAACCUGCCCUUGACUUUGGGAUAACUUCAGGAAACUGGGGCUAAUACCGGAUAGGAGCUCCUGCUGCAUGGUGGGGGUUGGAAAGUUUCGGCGGUUGGGGAUGGACUCGCGGCUUAUCAGCUUGUUGGUGGGGUAGUGGCUUACCAAGGCGUUGACGGGUAGCCGGUCUGAGAGGGUGACCAGCCACACUGGAACUGAGAGACGGGCCAGACUCCGACGGGAGGCAGCAGGGGGGAAUAUUGGACAAUGGGCGCAAGCCGGAUCCAGCCAUACCGCGUGGGUGAAGAAGGCCUUCGGGUUGUAAAGCCCUUUUGUUGGGAAAGAAAAGCAGCAGGUUAAUACCCCGCUGUUCUGACGGUACCCAAAGAAUAAGCACCGGCUAACUUCGUG
rnacentral:rRNA from 1 species